CCCAGUUGCGACUUGUCCAUACCUCAGUGAAAAUGUCUUCCAGUACAGUAUUUCAUAUCACUUUCGUGUUCUUGCUUAUCAUCGAGAUUUUCACACCUGCGAAUUCCAAAAUGCAACACAUAUUCGACUACGGUCCAUCUGAAGGUAUUACACCCUACCCUGCUAACGACAUAUCGAAGAUUAAUCAUGAUUCCUUGAAUCGGGUUUUCAAACCCGACAGCAAGCACGAAGAGAGAAGCAAUGUAGCACGAAAUAUUCAUAACGGCGAAAUUUCGAAGGUUGAUCGUAAAAAUUAUAUUGAAGUGACUUAUUAUGUUGGCCCGGAAGCGUUUAAAGCACCUAUUUCGAAUAUAAAUUCUGUAAAAAAUAAUGCGAAGAAUGGGCCCGAAUUUAUUGAUAUACCGAAAGAAGAAUUUACAACAAAAAUGCUACCUCUAGAUAUAAGUGCAGACAGAAUUAUAAAUACCCCUAAACGGAAAUGCCCAGAAGGCAAGAAAAUGGACCUCUUUGGCACGUGUAAGGCAGUGUGGGAAAACUGACAAUAAUCAGGAGAGUCUGGUGCUUCCAAGGAUCGGUUGAUGGCAGGUCAAGAGUAAGGAUAUCCAGUAGAAUUGAGGUCACUAAUGGACAAAUAAUGUACAAAUUUUCUUUGUUUGAAAUCUCACUUAAUAUACUAUACUCUAUUUAAACAUGUAUGCACUUAUGACACAAUAAAUGAGAAUGAAAAAUA